rnacentral:lncRNA from 1 species
AGGACCACACCAUCUGCGCAGCCUGCACCCUCGCGGCCCGGUAAACUUGACAGUUUCUUAUAGAGCACAGAAGCCGUGGUGGUGUCAUGGAAUAUUGUCAAUUUCGGUUACAUUUCAUCAUGGUCAAGUCAACUCCAGGAGGCAGCAUCAUGGACGAUUUGGCUUAUGUUCUGCUUUUGUCUUCUACAGAACCUUGUGUCUCACUGUUGUCUCCUUCCUGGCUGGGGUUAUCACAUGGCAUAUCCAACGGAUUCCAUGGAAAGCUUGUGUUUACCCUCAAUAGUUAGAGACGUACAAGGAUGGAGAGGGAACAGAGCCAUCUUCCCAGAACCAACUUCUGCCAGAGGAGUCCCAUGAUAAUCCCAGCCAAAAGAACGAAAACAUGAGUAAUGGCUGUGACAUAAGAAAAUCCUAAGAGAGAAAACAGAGAAAAAGUUUUACGUGAGCGCCACAUUCCAGUUUGCAGAGUUAAGAUAGAUGAGGACAUUCAUUAAAUUCAUGUAUUAAUUCUAAUUCAAGAUGCACUGAAUUUCCAUCAUGUGAAUCAGAUGUUUUAUUUAUUUCUCUCUCAUUGUAUGGAUAAUGUCUAUAACUAGAGAAUGAGACUCAAUCCUACCUUUUCUUCCAAACUGUCUAUCUUCACUAGGGUGGAGUUCUUGUCUAUGCAGUCCUUUCUACUGUUAGCCCAGGUUUUCUCCUCAUUUGUUGUAAAAUAGUAGCAACUAUUUUGGUACCAUUGCCACAUCUUAGGACAUGGAUUACAUCUGUGGUCUGAAAAGGAA